CAGCGACAAAAAACCUAAACCUAUCGCCCGAACUUACGAGCGACAGCUCCUGCCCUCGAGCGAGAACCACUCUCACGUCUGCCCUCGUUCGCCGCCGCUCCAUCCCUUCUCCGCCGCCGCCGCCACCGCCGCCCCCGCCACCUCCCGUCGCGGGCAGGCGGGAGGAGCCCUGUCCGGCCAUGGCAACACCGCCGGCGGCCUCCUCCUCCCCCUCACCUUCUCUCCCUCUCCCAAAGGAGGGAAGGUAAUGGAAGGGAUCUGAUCGGAGCGGUGGAUCUGCGCCCUUGCCGUGUCUUCUUUUCUUCACGGAUUCCAGGAGGAGAUCGAAGUGGGAGGUAGACGAGCAGGAGCGCCGCGUCCGCGACAACGAUGAACGACGACCCAGGUUCUCGUCUCCCAUGGCAGGGGCCGGCGAGUGGCAACAGAUGCGGGACACCAACUGGUGGCGCAACGGACAGCGGGAGAUCGGCUGGUGGCAACGAAUGGCAGGAGGCCGCACGACCGUGCGAGGAGCAGGUAGCUGGAGGAUGUCGCCGGUGGAAAUCUGGCAAGUGGCGGCGACAUAGAGGGCUUAUGGAAUUGAAAUCUGAAGACAUGGUGAUUUUUACCCAAUGGGUUAUGCCCUUGAGCACGAAGAUCUUUUGAACUUUGAGGUUCAGGACAACGCGUGCUUCUCACAUUUAUUGAGACAGAGAGUAUUAAUCAACAGCGGUUCAAGUUUCUACAAUGAGCUAUACAUCAUCUAAACUCACAUGGAUAUACCAGGUCUGCCUUUCCCUACAAUUUAAGCCUUUGUUUUGGCAGGUAUCAGUCACCUGGUGCUAAACUUGGUGCUUAAUGAUCAACUAGAACAAAGUUUCAUAGCCUUCCAGAUUUGUCAAAUCUACAAUAACAGGAUAAUUCCUGUUAGACAUGUUAUUCUACUGGUACAUGUCAUAUAACGGAAUUCUUGUAUUUUGGAAGGAGAAAACAUUGAGUGGAGCUAUUAUGCAAUUCAAGUGGCAUGGUCAUCUGAGAUUUUGUUUUUUCUUAAUCGUGACAUGUGUUAAUAUUGUGCAAAUCAGAAUAUCAUUUUUUAGGUUUGCAAAUAAAAUUAACUUGAAUAAAGUAUUUUGAACUUAGUGAGCAUAACAGUGUUUUGUAGUGUGAGGAUAAUAAGGUGAAGUGAGGCUGCUGCUCACCGGUGGCUCGCCGGCCAUCCAAGAGCCGGAAUUGCGGCCCCACGCGAGGGAAAGAUCAGCGUUGCUGCAGCCACCGCAGGACACCCACCAUGCGCGUACCAUACAGGCAGCAGCAGCCUCACUUCACCUUGGAUGACAUGACGAUUAUGAAAUAUUCAGUCAUCCCCCUUGGGUCUACCUGUUAGAAACUUGGACCUACUCAUGUGUUUGAGAUGAUUGUGCAGAAAAGAUGAAAAACGGGAUAAAAUUCUAUGUGAGAGAUGACCGCUAAAGGAAUGUACAUGGAGAUUAUCUAUAAGGGUUAUGUCCCGUGCAAGGAGAUUAUCUUAUAGGACAGGCAUAUCAGCCCCCAUUCAGACAUAGCAGAUAUUCAACAGAAGAAGUUCCUCCACUGCUACUGGCCAAACUCUAAGCAAAAAGACCUUCCACUUUCCUUGCUAAUGGUGAGCAACUCAAAGAUGGCUACAAGGUUACACUCAAUAUUUACUCUCUGAAUAACAUAUUAUUUAUUUGACCAAUACAUGUAUAAAUGCCUUGAGAGAACAUGUAUAUAUAGCUGCAUAUAUGUUAUAUCUGAACAAUGGCAGAUUUGACCAUUAAUUACAUGUAUAUACUUGCUAGGAGAGAACGUGUAUAGCUUUCAGUUAAGCUUUUCGAUCAUUAAGCUGUUGCUUUCUCAUCUUAUUUCUAGGUAGAAACAUUAUUGGUGUUCUUUAGCUUAAUUUUGAAACAUGAACACCAUCAUGUCUUCAUCGCCGAAAGUGACGUUCUUUCCCAUUAAUCUGUGCACUCGAAAACUAUUCAAA